rnacentral:tRNA from 2 species
GCUGCUAUGGCUCAGGAGGUAGAGCACGUCCUUGGUAAGGACGAGGUCACCGGUUCAAAUCCGGUUAGCAGCUCCA